UACCUGUUUCAUUGGUCACGUGUACCAGUCUGAUUGACACGUGACAGCUACUCCACUACACAUUAGGGAGCUAAGAUAGAAAUGUCAUGGAUCCUUUAUCGGAGGAUUUAUUGUCUUUUCAAUCUUUGCAAAAUGUGCAUUGCUAUACUCAACAUAGAUAUUCCCCUCCACCCACGUAAGGGAGACAUAACUGACGUCCAAAAGAGAAUACUCCGGGGGAACUUGACCUGGAGGCCUUUUGUGUGUGAACAGUAAGAGAACUUAGACACACACUUGAUGCCAGCCCUGGGUGAGGGGUCUGGAUCUUUGAGAAGUCAAGCAAUAUGAAGAGAAAAAAGGGAUUCAAACUUGGAUUAUGAAACCACAUCAAAGUAUCACCACCCCUCUGCACUUUCCCUAGCCCUUCAACUUCUUCCCAACCAUCUGAUGCAGGAACCAUAUAAUCUCCCUGCUA
rnacentral:lncRNA from 1 species